CACGUAGGGGGCGAGCGUUGUCCGGAUUUAUUGGGCGUAAAGAGCUCGUAGGCGGCUCGGUAAGUGAGGUGUGAAAACUCCAGGCUCAACCUGGAGACGCCACCUCAUACUGCUGUGGCUAGAGUCCGGUAGGGGAGCAUGGAAUUCCUGGUGUAGCGGUGAAAUGCGCAGAUAUCAGGAGGAACACCGAUGGCGAAGGCAGGUCUCUGGGCUGUAACUGACGCUGAGGAGCGAAAGCAUGGGGAGCGAACAGG
rnacentral:rRNA from 1 species